rnacentral:rRNA from 1 species
ACUCCUACGGGAGGCAGCAGUGGGGAAUAUUGCACAAUGGGCGCAAGCCUGAUGCAGCCAUGCCGCGUGUGUGAAGAAGGCCUUUUGGUUGUAAAGCACUUUAAGCAGGGAGGAGAGGCUAAUGGUUAAUACCCAUUAGAUUAGACGUUACCUGCAGAAUAAGCACCGGCUAACUCUGUGCCAGCAGCCGCGGUAAUACAGAGGGUGCGAGCGUUAAUCGGAAUUACUGGGCGUAAAGCGAGUGUAGGUGGCUCAUUAAGUCACAUGUGAAAUCCCCGGGGCUUAACCUGGGAACUGCAUGUGAUACUGGUGGUGCUAGAAUAUGUGAGAGGGAAGUAGAAUUCCAGGUGUAGCGGUGAAAUGCGUAGAGAUCUGGAGGAAUACCGAUGGCGAAGGCAGCUUCCUGGCAUAAUAUUGACACUGAGAUUCGAAAGCGUGGGUAGCAAACAGGAUUAGAUACCCUGGUAGCACAGAG